GCCCCCGUAGCUCAGCUGGAUAGAGCGACGGCCUUCUAAGCCGUGGGUCGCAGGUUCGAGUCCUGCCGGGGGCA
rnacentral:tRNA from 1 species